GUUAAAAGGCUUUUAUCCUCCGAAUCCGUACAGAGUGCGUCCCUGUCGCUUCAGAGCAUACACCACAUCCAUGGCGCUGACGGUCUUUCUUUUAGCGCUCAGUGUAGGACACAGCAUCUCGAAUCACGCUCUCC